rnacentral:lncRNA from 1 species
AUGUGGCAGUUCAGCACUGCAGCAUUAAGGAAUAUGAUGUCAAAUUCACAGUGGUUACCAGUAAUCUACAUAUUCUGUAUGCUGAAAGAUGUGGCCACCGGCACUAAGGAAAUGUGGAAGAUCAACAUUACGCAACAAGAGUUUACUGUGGAAACGUCCAGUAAUAUCACCAUCGACUGCAGAGUGGAAUACCCACCACCUGAAAUGAGCAAAAAGGACAUUCAGGGCUUCUGGAAGGUGAACCGUGAAGGAAGAAUUAGCCAUUGCGAACGAAAAUCCAACGAAAUCAUCUACAAUCAUAACAAUACGUUAGUGUGGCGGAGAUUCCAGGGAAGAACUAAAGCCCUCGGGAACAUUGCGAACAACAGCUGUUCUCUAUCAAUCAGCAAGAUCCAGAAUGAGGAUCAGGGGCGCUACUACUUUAGAGUGGAGACAGGAUCUAAUAGCUACAGCUUUUGCAACAAUAUGAUCACCAUUAAAGUUAUAGGACAUGUCUCCAAUGUUACCUUGAAAGCAGUGUCUCAAGAUGUCACAGAAAACCCAUUUUUUUCUACAAAUAUUCCAGGAACCUCCGCACCUUCGACAGACUUUAGCAUCUUUAUUUACGUGCCGAUUAUCGUGCUCGUUGUUGUGAUUGUGGCUGUAGCUGUGUUUCUCCUCAGACGAAGAAAAAGAAGAAGACAACCGUCCAGACAAGACUCAAGUUACUAUGUCAAUUUCCAUCCGCCUUGUGAGAUGCAGAAUGAUGGACCUAAGUUGCCAGAGAAGUUUGAAAAAAAGCUGGAACCACCGCCCUUUACAUCUAAACCUCAGGAUGAACCUAUUUACAGCAAUGUUCAGGGUAAGACUCUUGUGGAGCCUGCUGCUUCUGAUCAGAUGGAGAACAUCUACACUAAUGUUGGCUGUGGUACACAGUGGUAGGAAAUGGCCUGAGAGUGUUUUGGGACCUGAGGGGUUGGAGGGUCAAGGAGUGUUGGCAUUUCAAUGUUAAAGUUUAACCAAUGUUAAGUAGCAAAUAAGACAAUAAAUUAAAAAGCUACAUUUCA